GCUGUAGCUCAGUGGUAGAGCAUCUGCUUUGCACAUCGAAGGUCCCAGGUUCAACUCCUAGCAUCACUG